GAAAUUAUAGGGCUCCUUGAUGCUGUCUAAUAAAUGGAUUUAAAAACACAAUUAGGUAACAGUUAGGCAUUAUCAGUAAGCUUUUAAUUAAAAGAUAUUUAAUUGUAGGUUAACAGGUAUACACUUGGCUUUUACAUUAUGAUUGUCAUCUAGGAAACCACGGAGAGUAAGUAAUGUAAUAUUCCAUGCAUUUCUGUUCCUUUGAAGUCCUUCAAAUUUAAAGAGAAAGAACACAAAACAAAAAUUAAAAUUGAUUUUAUAUAACACCUCCUGUUAAGCUAUUGAGUUUCUUAUGUGCUUUCCAAAGAUGCAGCACUGCUAGCAAAUUAGUUUUUCCAGCCAACAGCUUUCAUAGUCUUCAAUGUGGUGUUCUGGAGAUAGAAAUUGUAGGCAAGUAUAGAAAGGAUGGGUCACACCUUUAGACACAUUGUAUAAAUACUUGUAUGCAAACCUGAAUAAAAGAUAUGCCUGAAGCAAGGAUAAGAGACUGUUGGCCAGAGCAGCUGGCCAGAGGCUGCAGAAAGCUUGCCCCACAUCAGAACCAAAAGUUCCACUGUGAAUGGGAUAGGUAUUUUUGGAGCACUUUAGUAGACAGGAGAACUAUUUACAUUACCAGAGAGAAAGUUUCUUCCUAAGCUCACAUAACCGGUAGCUGAUUUAUGCUCUGAAACACUGACAUUUAUAGAUAUAUAUAUAUAAAAAUAUAUAAAUCCUCCCCUUACUCCAAAAUGGUUUUUCUCCUACUUAGCCACAAGGGUGUUCUCUUCAUGCAUAUAAAUCUCUGAUUUUUUUUUUUAAUCACACUAUCCUUUUCACCUGAGAAAUCUUGUGGACAUGAGUUCCAAACAGAGUUAUGCUUUAUCAGUAAUGCAACUAAGUUGGAACUUGUUAGUUAGUUAGUCAAUCAGUCAGUUAGUAUUUCUUAGUUUUAAACAUCAAUGAAUAUCCCCAGAAAGGGUAAACCCAAGUUCUCUGUUUUACCUCCUUUAUUAUUUUCUAUAUUUAUGUCUCCCUCUAACCAAUACCUUUCUUUCUGCCUUAUUAUUAUUCCUAUUUAAGAAGCAAGGGAUUUUUGGCAAUAUCUUUUAUUGGACCAACUGUACAGUCAAGAGAUAUCGGAGACAAGCUAUUUUGGCGCACACUGCCAUUCUUCAGAAAAAAAUGACCAGAACUCUACACAGAAUUCCAGGCAAGGACACAGCAAAAAUUCAAAAAAUGUCAUUUCAGUAUUUUUAAGAUUUAAAAAAAUCUCAUUCAUUAAUAUUCUAUUGACUUUUGUACCAUGUAUAUAUUUUGAACAGAGCUGUUAAUUUAACUGUUCACAAAUGUUGCCUCAGUUUUCCCCUAAUUUUAAUCACUUUUGAAUGCAGCUGCAAAAACAAUUAAUUCAAAUUCUUUCUGCUGAUGUGUAUUAGGUUUCAGUUAUCAGUACUACAUUUCUUCUGUCAUUGUGCUGCUCAUUUAUACUUGUUAGGUCUCUCCAUUUUCUCACAAUUGUCUAGUCUUUAUUAUUCUAAAUCAUUUUUUAAUCAUUUCCAAAUAUUGUCUCCUCACACUUUAUUCAUGUUCCUCAAGAAUUAUAUUAAACACCACUUACCUGGAAUAGGACCCUAAGGCAUUCUACUGUUAAUCUUUUGCCAUAUUGAAAGUUCAUUAUUUAUUCCCACAUAUGGCAUGGCAGGAGGCACAAUUGUUGGGACUAAGGAUCAGAUCCUGUCUUGCCAUUUAAUGAAUGUGAGCCAGGGGCUAUAGGUACUGCUAAAAGCGUUCUAUAUAAGAAGUAGUGCCCGUAUAUUUGGAUUUGAAUCUCAUUAGAGUUUAUAUCAAAAUGCCUUACCUCAUCUGAUAUCCAAGUCAUUUUGUAGGUCUACCUAGAUGAGUAAACGAGCAGAGGUACCUGCAUUGUUUUGAUUUAAGGAAAGGAUGACUCAACAUUAAAUUAUGAUUGCCAUUCAAUUUCCCAUUACUGACAUCUAUACCAUAAGACAAGUAGUCCCUGUAUAUCUUCCAAGAAAGUAGCUGUAUUUUAAUUCUAUUGAUUAAAUAAUGGAUUUUCAUAUCCUAUCUAAACUUUACUUAUUUUGCACCUGGCUGCACACUGUAUUUGUUAUAGCUUGUUUCUCUUCUCAUGGAAAAGAAUUCAAUCCAAGAUGCAAUUCCAUAUUAAUCAGCCAACUGUGUUGCCAAUUGCAUUGCGAACACCAAUUAACUCUUAUGACUGCAAAUACAGAAGAGGAUUUGCACUUUCUUUAAGCUAUAUACAGUAUAAACACAAAUGCCAAUUAUGCAUUAUGCAAAUACAAAUGCUGAAAUGUGUAUGCUUAUAUUUAAGAAUCCAAGUAGUGCCAUUGCUUUCAAAGGGAUUUAAAAGUUAAGCCCAUGUUUCAGUGUUUUGCUGAACAGAGACCACAGGGACAACGAAAUAUCUCCAGGUUUGCAUACAAAUUCCAAGUACUCUGUAUAUGUUUGUUUUUUGAUACUGACUUUUACUUCUGUAUUCAGAUAAACUUCUGCUGUUCUUAAUGAGGAAUCACAUACCUGUAGAUCCUGUAAUGUUGCAUAAAAUUAGUGGACUUACAUUUUCAAAAGAUAGGUACAUUAUUAAAAUUAUUAAAAUUGUGUUAUUAA